rnacentral:rRNA from 1 species
AAUUUUGGACAAUGGGGGCAACCCUGAUCCAGCCAUUCCGCGUGAGUGAAGAAGGCCUUCGGGUUGUAAAGCUCUUUCGGACGGAACGAAACGGUUAGCGUGAACAACGCUGACUAAUGACGGUACCGUAAGAAGAAGCACCGGCUAACUACGUGCCAGCAGCCGCGGUAAUACGUAGGGUGCGAGCGUUAAUCGGAAUUACUGGGCGUAAAGCGUGCGCAGGCGGCGGCCCAAGUCAGGUGUGAAAUCCCCGGGCUUAACCUGGGAAUUGCGCUUGAAACUAGGUCGCUAGAGUGUGGCAGAGGGGGGUGGAAUUCCACGUGUAGCAGUGAAAUGCGUAGAGAUGUGGAGGAACACCGAUGGCGAAGGCAGCCCCCUGGGUCAACACUGACGCUCAGGCACGAAAGCGUGGGGAGCAAAC